GAUCAAUCUACAUUAAAUAAAAGUAAUGGUGGUUAUGGUGGAAAAGGUGGUGUUAUAUGCUCAAUAACUCAAGAUGAAAGACAUGAAGCACACUGUCUUGUAUUGCAAAACAUUGAUGAGAUUCAACCUUACAUCGAGAAUCAUUUUGUUUGGCUUCGGAAAAAAUAUCCAUCUAAGUCAAAGAACCAAAAAUGGAUCCAAGAUGAACACUAUCGUACGUUUAGUACUUGGUUAGAGAACAAGGUUGCAAUUGAAGUGACCCACACGUCGUGUCAUGUGUCGGACAUAGUUAAGUGGAUUUCUCGUGGUCCUUCUCUGAAUGUGUUUCAGUACCCAUCAUAC